UUAGCUCUCAUUGAUUUUUAUUUAGGACUCAAAUGAACACUGACCAACCACAUUACAAAAUCCUUUAUUUUCACUCUUCCCAACUUAGACUCUGCCGCAAAGCUGACGUUCGGUCGCCACACGCCAGUGUAUUUUCACUUGGCCUCACGAUUCUUUGUGACACUCGUUCAGAUGCUCCAUUUUCCAGCCAAUAACCGGCCUGCGCAAGAAUGGAAGGUAAGAUCAUCCACACGACUUCCUCCUCUUCAGUCGUGAGCUCACUUGCUUUUGCUGAGGGGAGUCCUCUGCGAGUCAGCGCACCUCAGCGUGAAGUCGAGCAGGGCCCAUUCCCGGCCUUCACGCGGCCACGGCGUCCCCGGACCAGACCCGACUUGCAGGCCCCCACGGUCAGCAGUGCUUCUCACCGAUGAAAUGGCUUCUAGGUGCCAAACUAACUGGACAACUAGGGAACACGCUGUGAAUUCAGCAAUCCGAAGCAGGUUUUCAACAGCUGGUGCGUCUCCGAGGCACGUCACGGGUCAGCGUGUCCGCGUGACCGCGUGUCCACUGAUUUUGGUUCUUCGGUCGCACAGUGUUAAACUCCAUGCGGCUGGGUCAAGUGAGCAUGUCUGCAAGUGUGUGAAGCAUUUCAUCUUUAGCAGCGAAUCACGUGACACCGUGCCUAACUUCAGGGCACAGUCUGACACUAACCUGAUGAAGAUCGUGAUUCUGUUUUAUGCCAGGUUAUUUUUGAAGAGCCACACACUUUCCUGCCUAACUUAGACGCUGCAGGGUCAAGCGCUCGUGAGGUGUCCUUGGUGCUUCUGGCUUCACCGGGUAACUUCCCCACGCAAACGGGGCAUUUGGGCGAGGACAACAGUCAAGAUGUGAAUCCAUGGUUGAGACCGGGGGUGUGCUGGCUAAUUUGUUUUUUUGACCAGUGUUUACUCUUGUGAAUUUUUUCUUAAUGUUUAUUUUGGAGAGGGGGUGGAGAGGAACAGAGAGAGAGAGGGAGACAGACAACCCAAAGCAGCCUCCGUGCUGUCAGCGCAGAGCCGGAUGUGGGGAUCGAAGUCACAGGCUGUGAGAUCACGACCUGAGCCAAAGUCGGACGCUCAACCUACUGGGACACCUAGGCAGCCCUAGUCCUAUGAAUUCUGAAGUCACUCUGGAUUUAAUAAAAAUGUAAAUAUCUAUACAAAUUAAAACUAUUCCUGGUACA